GUUUUUUUUAAUUCAUUUUUUUUUUAUAUAUACAUAUAUUUAGAUCUGCACAUUUUUUUUCAUAACUAACUACCCUGAUUUUUCCUAAACCCUGACAAUUUCGCCACAAACUCUAAAUUUCAAACCUAAAACUUUAACCGUGUUGUUUCCUCUAAACCAUAAACCUUUUCUUAAACCUUAACAAACCUUAUUAUUAUUUCCUAUUUUCGCUCAUAUUUAUGUUAUUCAUACACUGUAACUGCUUCGCCCUUGUAAUAUUUUAAGUUUUAACUUGUAAUAUUUUCAGUUUUACUUUUCGCCAUCUUUAUUAUGUAACUGCACCAAAGCGUUGUAAUAAUUAGGGUUUUAUUUUCUGCCAUUUAUUUUCUGCCAUUUUAUUUUUCUGCCAUUU
rnacentral:lncRNA from 1 species